rnacentral:lncRNA from 1 species
UUGCUGAAUUGAACUCUUCCACAUAUGAGCUCUAUGUCUCCCCAGAAGAUGAGCAAUCAUUCUCUUCAUUCACAACUACUGUCAAACAAAAGAAUCCAUCCAUCACUACACUGCUGUCAAUUGCAGGUGGAAAUGGUAACGACACUGUCUUAUCAUUAAUGGUAAGCAAAGACUCUUCAAGGAAAUAUUUCAUUCAGUCUUCAAUAAGAAUAGCCAGGCUUUAUGGUUUUCAAGGCCUGGACCUGUCAUGGGUUCCUGAAACAAUUUCUGACAUGAACAACAUGGGAAGGCUUUUUGAGGAGUGGAGGGCAGCUGCAAAAUCUGAGGCAGCAAACGAUAGCACUCAAGUGUUGAUCUUAACGGCAGCUGUUCAUUUUAGACCAGGUUUGGAUUCCGCUUCUUACCCAGUGGAGUCUAUUCAAAAUAACUUGAAUUGGGUACAUAUUUUGACUUACGACUACCACAUGCCUCAGUUGGCAAAUUUCACUGCUGCCCAUGCAGCCUUAUAUGAUCCUUCAAGUUCUGUAAACACAGACAAUGGUAUCAAGGAAUGGAUUGGUAGUGGAGUAACGGCUAGCAAGUUGGUUUUGGGGUUGCCUUUCUAUGGAUAUGCCUGGAAUCUUAGGAACCCAGAGGAUAAUGCAAUAGGUGCAUCAGCAACAGGUCCAGCAAUUGGAAAAAGUGGAGCUAUGAACUAUAAGGACAUCAAGGCUUAUAUUCAACGAUAUGGAGGCCAUGUCAAGUACAAUGCUACUUAUGUAGUUAAUUACUUCUCCAAUGGAUCGACUUGGAUAGGUUAUGAUGAUGUUGAGGUUGUCAAAAUGAAGGUUUCUUAUGCAAGGGAAAAUAAGUUACUUGGCUAUGCUGUGUGGCAAGUUCCUUAUGAUGACAAUUGGGUUCUUUCUAGUGCUGCAGGUAAAGAUGUUACUGAUGCUUGCUUAAGAUUUGUGAAAACUUAGUUCUAAUCCAUAAUUAUUUUUUGAAUACAUUUGCUCAAUGCAUAGAAAGUGUUUUGUUUGCUGUGUUGUUCUAAUAUUCUUACUAAGAGUAAAGCUACGUCUAAUGUCUAUUAGCAGCAGGAUGUCAGUAACUUUUAACAUGAAACUGUGUAAACCUUUUACCUUCAAGCUUGGUGAUAAGAUCGCGAGUUUCUAGCCAACCUCAGAUACAAUUGAGAUUGUUUAUUUUCUUUGUGAAAAAUAAGAACCUUAAGAUUAUUAAUAUAUUAUGCUGCUAUGUAAGUAGAAAUAGCCAUUUCACAUAUACUGCACCUUUUUCUUCAAGAGAAAUUCAGUCAAUGUUGCAUUUUACUGAUAUCCUUAAUACAGUAAGUUAAUACUCGAAACAGGUAAAUAUUUGUAGAGUUUCCCUUCAAAGACCCGUUGAAAAUGGUCAUGCAUAGAUAGACAAUGCCAGCUGAGCAUAGUACAGGACAUUUUUUGAUUUUGUUGGUCUCGGGACUCAUAAUUCAUGAGCCAAUCACUAAUCCAAAUAUUGGAAAUAAAAUAUGGAACUGGCUUACGUAAACAGUAAUUAAAGUACAUGCUCCUACGAGGAGUUUUAAUUUCAUAAGUAUGUGCCAUAACAUUUAAUGCUAAUAAUUUAUAUCGUGGAUAAUGUUUCAGCUGAACAUGUUGACCAAAAUGGACGCAAUAGUUGGCGAUUAUUAGUGAUCAUUUUGAUCAUAACUGCUAUGUCUGUUAUCCUAUUAGGCAUCUUAAUUUACUACUUAAGGAGGAGAUUUCCCAAAUCAACAGGUAACUUCUUCGGCUACAUUUAUUUCCCAUUUAUAAUUAUUGUAUCCAUAUUGCAAAAUAUCGGUUAUGCUUACAGUUGAGUAACUGAUUUUAGUUUGUAUAACUGCUCAUUAAUCUGUUAGCAGCAGUAAUUUUAAGUACUUUGAACAAUGUGAAUAAAGACGCUUCAAGACUUUUCCACAGCAACGCACCUGAUUUACAAGUAUUCAGCUUUUCUGAUAUUGAGCAGGCCACAAAUAGAUUCUCAAUUGAAAAUAAAGUUGGCCAGGGGGGCUAUGGUCCUGUUUACAAGGUACAAUAUUAAUUAAACAACCUUACGGCAAUAGUAUCUGAUCCUGAACUAAUUCAGACCCAAUUCCUAUUGGCAGCCCAAAAGAAAUGUUAUUAGUUUCUUUUAUUAAACAUAGGAAUAACAAUCGGAAAUAGGUUCUAGAAUGGGUUUCAUAGAAAUUGUUAGGACUCUGGUUUGGCCUUUCGGCUUGCUUUUAGGGGUGUAUGUAGCAGCUAGGUGUUAGUAACAUGUAGCUUAUACAAACCUACUGUAUUGCUUUGAGUAGAGAAUAAUGGAUUCAGAAUUUGGUUUUUAUUUCUUUUCCUCCUAUUUUCUAUGAAGUUCUCCCUUACUCAAAAAGGGCCAUGUAUCAAUGACAUUGAAAAACAUAUUAAUGGGGAGGAAAAUAGAAUGAACUGUAAUCUAGUCUCUAUCACUCAGACCAAUACAUGUUGGUUGCUGGAACCCCUUUAUAGUGAACUUUUCGCAAUCUCUAUUUCUAGUUGGUAAUUACAAAGUAGUGGAGAGAAAAGAAAUGCAUAUUCUAAAAUUACCUUAUCUACUCAAAGGUAAGAAAUUCACUAUAUAAAAGUGCCUAUUUGUUCAGGGCAUCCUAUCAAACCGUCAAGAAGUAGCUGUGAAAAAACUAU